UCUGAACAACACAAGGGAACCUGGCUGUCAAGGCAAAGACCCUAAACCCAGCCCUGCCCCAACACUCAUUUCUUGCCCCGCCUUGGCUCCUUUCCCCACUUCCCCGUCUCAAGAGCCCCCUUCCAGCUGCUGCUAUCAGUGUAGGACUGAGGAGCCAGGAAAAACAGACACCCUAGGAGUCAAGGCAGGACUUGGGCAUACAGUUUCAGAAGGUCACUCCAGUAGCUCACUCACGGAACACAGACCCACAGAGGACCAUCUUGCUUGGUUGAUCUCAUGAAGUUCUGUCCAGACUACUGCCUUCUUCUUCAAUGACAUCCACCUGUGCCAUUCACCCCUUCCAAUCCUGGCCUUUUCAUCCAAAGUUCUCUCUACUACCCUGGUCUCCAAGUCCCCCAAUUCUCUGCCAGCACCAGCCAACUGGACAAGUACCUCAUCAAAGUCAGCGAUGAUCUCGUUGA